CCUCCCGCAAAAACCAAUGUAUAGGAGGUCUCGCCUGCCCAGUGACAAGUUAAACGGCCGCGGUAUUUUGACCGUGCGAAGGUAGCGCAAUCACUUGUCUUUUAAAUGAAGACCUGUAUGAAUGGUAGAACGAGGGCUUAACUGUCUCCCUUUUUAAGUCAAUGAAAUUGAUCUGUCCGUGCAGAAGCGGACAUAAUAAUACAAGACGAGAAGACCCUUUGGAGCUUAAGACUCCAGAUCAAUUAUGUCAAGAACUUAAACCAAGUUAAACCAAAUAACACCUGAUCCUAGUCUUUAGUUGGGGCGACCGCGGGAGAAAAUAAAGCUCCCAUGAGGACUGGACCCACCUCCAGAACCAAGAAAGACAUCUCUAAGUCACAGAACUUCUGACCACAAAGAUCCGGCCACCCGCCGACCAACGGACCAAGUUACCCUAGGGAUAACAGCGCAAUCCCCUUUCAGAGUCCAUAUCGACAAGGGGGUUUACGACCUCGAUGUUGGAUCAGGACAUCCUAAUGGUGCAGCCGCUAUUAAGGGUUCGUUUGUUCAACGAUUAAAGUC
rnacentral:rRNA from 3 species